rnacentral:lncRNA from 1 species
GCAUGUAUUGCUCAGCACCAGGUCUUUCACAGCCUUCUGGAUUUUGCUAUUCAGGUUAUCAUUGUGCCAAGGGAGCCAUCAGCCCAACCCCCUUCAAACACAGGGUGAGUGAGCGCUGGCAAACAGCAGAGCAGACCUUGUGUCCUGGGGAUGAGGACUGGAUUCUCACAAUGUCAUGGCUCCUGGUGUCAUGUUUUUCCAAGUCUUAGUGCCUUGCACAGGGUUGCUCUUGCCUGCUGGCUGCUGACCUUGGUAGCUGCUCAGAUGGACUGACGUGCUGCUCUGAAUGUCUGCUGGAAUAUGUUGUGGCCUGUUAACAAGUUAUGGCUGGACAUCCAUUUCUGGAGAUACCCCUUGAGUGUGCCUGUCUCAGGACUCUUCCACGUGAUGAGAGCAGUGACUGGGUAGCUGUGGCUCAGCAACCAGCACUUCCAGUGCCCCUUCUAUGCCAGCUGUGGUCUUCAUUUAGUUUCAGUGGCAGAAAACCUGAAGGAUUCAGCUUGUGUGCCCUUUCCAGAACCUGUCUCUGUAGUAUUUUGUGCCAAAUCUUGUUUUGAUAACAUUUUUCUUUUCUCUUUUUGUUUGUUUGUUUCUUUCUUUUUCUUCACGCAGGUGGAAUUUGCUGGCCUCGCGUUGCCUGGUAAUGAUAUCUGUCCUGCAGGGCAUUUCUGCCCCAAUGGAACUGGGAAUCCCAUGCCCUGCCCUCCUGGGUCUUUUUCUGCUGCCAGGGGCCUGCAGGCAGAAGAGCAGUGCCAGCCGUGCCCCGCUGGACGAUAUUGCAGCAGGGCAGGAUUGUUUGAUCUGGCUCAGACAUCGCUGUGUAAUGCAGGGUACGUUUGUCUGGAAGGAAGCUCUGCUCCCUGCCCUUCUGAUGGGGUUCAUGGAUACAGAUGUCCUAGUGGCUUCUACUGUCCUGCUGGCACUGGGCUAGAACUGCCCUGUGAGCCUGGCACCUUCAGCCCUAUGCCAGGGGCGAGUGCUUGCCUCCCUUGCCCAGCUGGAAUGACCUGCAGCCAUGCAGCCACUGCAGAACCACUCAGCUGCCCCAGAGGUUACUAUUGUCCAGCUCGGACUGCUGCUCCCAUGCCGUGUCCUGAGGGGACACUGAAUACCAUGGAGGGGGCAUUGGCCCCCACUGCCUGCAAGCUGUGUCCAGUGGGCAGGUACUGCAGAGGAGAUGCUAACUGGGAACCUGAUGGUGAGUUUGAUUAAUAGCUCUUCUUUCUGUCCAUUUAAAUACCUCACCGACUCUGUUUUCAUGUUUGUGCAGAGUAGCUCUUGCUUGGCUAAAAUGCAAAGGUUAGACAUAGGAGGAGAAGAAAGGCAGAACUCUUUCCACAGAAAGAAGUUUUUCCACAGAAUCUGCAAACAAGUUAGAGACUUAGGAAUAGUUUAAAAAAAAAAUAAGUAAAAAUACAAGAUGA